rnacentral:rRNA from 1 species
GAUGAACGCUGGCGGCGUGCCUAACACAUGCAAGUCGAGCGUGAACCGUCUGAAUGAAACUUCGGUCGAGUGAGGAUGGGGAAAGCGGCGGACGGGUGAGUAACGCGUAGGCAACCUGCCCCGUACAGAGGGAUAGCCUCGGGAAACCGGGAUUAAGACCUCAUAAUACCAUUAUCCCACAUGUGAUAAUGGUCAAAGAUUUUAUCGGUAUGGGAUGGGCCUGCGUCUGAUUAGCUGGUUGGUGGGGUAACGGCUCACCAAGGCGACGAUCAGUAGCCGACCUGAGAGGGUAAUCGGCCACAUUGGAACUGAGACACGGUCCAAACUCCUACGGGAGGCAGCAGUGGGGAAUAUUGCACAAUGGGCGAAAGCCUGAUGCAGCAACGCCGCGUGAGCGAGGAAGGCCUUUGGGUCGUAAAGCUCUGUCGAGGAGGAAGAUAAUGACGGUACUCCUCGAGGAAGCCCCGGCUAACUACGUGCCAGCAGCCGCGGUAAUACGU